rnacentral:rRNA from 1 species
GUGGGGAAUCUUGCGCAAUGGGCGAAAGCCUGACGCAGCCAUGCCGCGUGAAUGAUGAAGGUCUUAGGAUUGUAAAAUUCUUUCACCGGGGACGAUAAUGACGGUACCCGGAGAAGAAGCUCCGGCUAACUUCGUGCCAGCAGCCGCGGUAAUACGAAGGGGGCUAGCGUUGCUCGGAAUUACUGGGCGUAAAGGGCGCGUAGGCGGACAGCUUAGUCAGAGGUGAAAGCCCAGGGCUCAACCCUGGAAUUGCCUUUGAUACUGGCUGUCUUGAGUUCGGGAGAGGUGAGUGGAACUCCGGGUGUAGAGGUGAAAUUCGUAGAUAUUCGGAAGAACACCAGUGGCGAAGGCGACUCACUGGCCCAAUACUGACGCUGAGGCGCGAAAGCGUGGGGAGCAAACAGGAUUAGAAACCCGUGUAGUCC